GACAUGAGUCCAAGCCCGGGAGGCAAAGCACCAAUGACGACGACGCCGACGCCGGCCCCGGCCUGUAUCAGGGCUGGCGCUGCCUGCCGGACGCCCAAAGCCAAAGCGCAGACCCCACGCCACCGCGGCUCGCACGUGCCGGUGCCGGGGCCACCAUCAGGCCGCCUGACAUGUCGACCCUGGACUGCUGGGCUCCGGACGGGCCCCGGUUGGCAUUGAACGGGUGUCGGUGGGCGGUUGGCGGGAGGAGCCCAGUGCUGCCGCUGCGUGAUCUGAUAAUAACUCAGGAAUGGGGCUGCUGCUGCUGCUGCUGGCUGCUACCAACCGUGCGUUCGGCGCCACCGGCACCGGAAUACCAGCUGCGUUGCGUUGCGUUGUGUUGCAUCUUUGCAUGGAUGGAUUAUGUUUAAUGUACGUGAGCUGCCACCCAACCCACCA